GUUAAGGAUUGGGGAAUUUCAAUUCAAAUCUUGAAUGAGACAAUUAGGCUUUGAAUAUGGAACUUUGACAAUAGAAGUAGAUGGAAGUGGAGAAUGUUAGAGAUCAUUACAGUCCUCAUAUGAACAUAUUUAUGAAAUUGAUGGUGUGGUCAUUAUAUAUAGUUAUUGUGUAUUCUAACAGGGAGUUAAGGUCAAAAUAUGAAGGAGGUUCUUUCAGAUUUUCAGC
rnacentral:misc_RNA from 1 species